GGAGAGGUACCGAAGGGGUCGUAACGGGAUCGACUCGAAAUCGAUUUGGGGGCCACAAGCUCCCACGGGGGUUCGAAUCCCCCUCUCUCCGCCA
rnacentral:tRNA from 1 species